rnacentral:tRNA from 1 species
GCGCCCGUAGCUCAUCUGGAUAGAGUACCUGGCUACGAACCAGGGGGUAGGGAGUUCGAAUCUCUCCGGGCGCGCCA